rnacentral:rRNA from 1 species
CGCAAUGCGGUCAGGCUUUACCAUGCAGUCGAGCGCCCCGCAAGGGGAGCGGCAGACGGGUGAGUAACGCGUGGGAACGUACCUUUUGCUACGGAAUAACUCAGGGAAACUUGUGCUAAUACCGUAUGUGCCCUUCGGGGGAAAGAUUUAUCGGCAAAGGAUCGGCCCGCGUUGGAUUAGCUAGUUGGUGAGGUAAAGGCUCACCAAGGCGACGAUCCAUAGCUGGUCUGAGAGGAUGAUCAGCCACACUGGGACUGAGACACGGCCCAGACUCCUACGGGAGGCAGCAGUGGGGAAUAUUGGACAAUGGGCGCAAGCCUGAUCCAGCCAUGCCGCGUGAGUGAUGAAGGCCCUAGGGUUGUAAAGCUCUUUCACCGGUGAAGAUAAUGACGGUAACCGGAGAAGAAGCCCCGGCUAACUUCGUGCCAGCAGCGGCGGUAAUACUGA